ACUUAAAAAUCUUGACAUGAUUCUGUAUUUACAGUUUAACGUGUCGCCUAACACGACAAACAGCAAAAUAAUCACUUUUAAUAGCUUUACUGAAACGACAGUACAGAUUUUGAUGCUUGAAAACGUGGUGAAUUUCGCUUGUUCUCUGGCGCUUUUCACAUUAUGUUUAUGUAUCGUUAGUUACUGGACGUUAUGCGACACAGAUUAAGAUAUUAAUUACAUUAUACAGAAGAUAAUAGCUUGGAGGUAAUUUAAUGUUGACCGCUGAACACAGUAAAGGUAAUUUUGGCAGACUUUGUCAAAUUAAAAACAUUAACUCAGCUACCUGUUUCUUCAUGUUAAAUGCUAUUAUUAGCGCGUUACCUGUUUUCACCUUCAUACUCUGGUUUCAUUCACAAACACAUCACAAUCAGUAACAUUAGUUCUAACAAAUCGUAAAUUAACCAAUAGUUUUAAAGCUCUUUCUCUUUUGUGGUGUUGCUUGUCAUUUAGCCAGAGGUGUCAGUGAUUCAGUAAAUCACUCAUGCUUUAAAUUUUAUGUGGAGAACUGUACCAUACCAUUUAUACAACCAUUUAUCCAAACCAAGUGAUACAGGAUCAAGCGAUUGGCCAUCACGAAAGUUUGCUUUAUGGCGACUGGCCUCUCUGUUGUCCUGGAUGUGAUGAAAUGCUGGGACUUCCUUUGUCUUUAUUGAAUUUUUUGUGAGCAGUAUCCAGCCGUACGGGCAGCACUAAGAGUCAGUUUCCACUCUGGAGGAAUCUGGAGUCUUUACCUCUGCACUAUAGGAACGCUGAAGAAGAUGAAAUGCUGAAAAACUUUGUCCUACAUCGACCCUCCAUGAAAAGAUAAAGAGUAAGGUGUCCUACAGAGAUCAUUGUCCUCUCUUCCUCAAAAGAGCCUAUCUCCGGUUGGUUUGGAACUGAUGGCACUGCAGCUUGAAGGACAUCAUCCUCACUACAGUCGGACGUGGCACAGGCUGUAGGGACGUCGUCAACACUUUGAG